AUCUACAAUAAACCACCUCCUCCGC
rnacentral:piRNA from 1 species